rnacentral:lncRNA from 1 species
UCAGAUAUUUUGGCUACGGAUUUCAUUUUACUCCGUUUUCUGAUUAAUAAACUCUCUGUCUUCCAGAGACUUCUCUCAAAUGCUCCUCCUUGUCUCUAGAUUCUCUCACUAUAUUUUCCAUAAUUCUUCGGUUUAAUCUCAAAGUUUUCAACAGGUACGUCUAAACAAGAGAAUUCUUAAAGGAAGGUAGAUUUGAAGUUGGUUCCAAAUAUCUAGGAGUAGAUGGAAUUAUUGUAGAAAGAGGUUGCAUAUUUUGUGGAGAUAAUGAAAGAGAUUACAUGGGAGCCGGAGGAUUUAAAUUAUGAUUAGAAUUUCAUAGAGAUAAUGCAGGUGGGUUUAAAUAUGAAAUAGUUGAAGAGCGCACUACAUGUGUAGGAAGUUGAGCAAAUUGAUCAUGAUCUGAAAGUGAAAAAGAGAGAGUCAUAGGAGAAGUUAUAGACAUGUUUUGAGGAGCUACAGAGAUAGAUGGGGAGUUAUAUCUGAUGUAGAGAUGAAAUCAAAAUUGGAUAUAGUUGUUGGUGAAGCACAUAUUUUGUGCAAAGUAAUUGAAGAAGAAGUAGGAGAAGGUGGCAUGGCUUUUGGUGAUGAAACAACUGAAAGUUUGAAAUUGUAGCAGACUAUUCUGGAAACAUAGAAACAUAGGAAAAUAAGGAUUCUAUAAAAUUAACAUAACGUGAAAAGAUUAUCCAUUAGUGGAUGGAUCUAAACAUUUGAGCCCCUUGUGUUGAGGAGAUAGUCCAAGAAAUAAGUUAGAUGUAUGUGACCACCUGCUGGUUGUUUCGGGAGUUGUAGUCCCAUUCACCAAUCUACUUCUCAUUUUAUGCUAUAAACUUAUUAUGUGACUUGCCGGAGUAGUUAGUUCGGGUCCGUAGAGGUUUCAAAAUCAAUUGAGAUACAUAGUCUCAAGGUUGGAAGCUUAAGUUGAAAAAGGUUGACAAGAUAUUGACUUAUGUGUAAAUAAUAUUGGAAUGGAGUUCUUAUGGUCCUUUUAGCUGUGUUGAGUGAUUUUCGACUUAGAAAUGUGUUCGGAUGGUGACUUGAAGGUCCGUAGUUGAAUUAGGCUUGAAAUGACGAAAGUUGAUAAUUUGAUCGAGAAUGUACUUUAUGGCUAAGAGACUUGGAUUAAGGUUCCAAGAUUGGAGUAGGCCUGUGGUGUAAUUUGUUACUUUUUUGCAAAAUUUGAGGUUAACCGGACGUGAUUUGAUAGGUUUCGACAUCAAAUGUAGAAGUUAGAACUUCAAAAGUCCAUUACCCUUGAAUCAAUGCGCGAUCCAUGGUUUUAGCAUUGUUUGAUGUGAUUUGAGGGCUCAAAUAAGUUUGUAUGAUGUUUUGGAACUUUAUGGUAUGUUUUGUUGAGGUCCCGGAGGCUUCGGUGUGUUUCAGAUGGUUAACAGAUCAAUUUUGGACUUGGUGUUAUAGCAGAAGUUCUCUAAUGUCUCUAAUGGUUUCCUUAUACGCAAUCACAUAGGAAGGUCCAAAUCGCAUAGGAUUAUUUUAGGAAAAUGGUGAUUUUGCUCUACGCAUUUGCAAUAUGGGGUACGCAAUUUUGGCCAGGCAGUGCAAAACGAACGCGUGGGCAUUUCCAUGUUCCGGAAGAGGUGAAGAGGCAGCUGGUUCUCAUGCGUCUGUGCUUCAAAUCGCGUGGGUUUGAGCAAGAUGUGGUUCGCGUUUGAGUGGAGCUAUCUGUGUUCACGUAAUGUAAUUUUAUGGGCAUACUGAUUUGUGCUAUUGGAAUGUGGGAAGAGGGUCACGUUUGCAUGAAGGUUAAUUGGGCAGCAGUGUUAAAUUUCAAAAACGAGGGUUUGAGUUCAUAACACAAAUCUGAUUUUGGGAUCUCAGUGGGGGCGAUUCUUGGAGAUUUUUUCAAUUGGUGAUUGGGGCAAGUGAUUCUUACCUACGUUUCAUUAAUUUCUAUGUUUAUGUCUUUAAUUUCAUCAUUUAGUUAGUGAUUUGGGGUGAAAAUUGGGGAAAAGUGGAUCCUUAUGCUGAAUUUUGAGGUUUUGAGCGAGAUACUGAUAUGAGAUAUGAGUAAUUUUGGUAUGAGUGGAGUUGUGGUCGAAUGGGUGAUCAAAUUUUAUGACUUUUACCCGAUUACAAGACGUAGGCCUAGGGGCCAACUUUUGAGCUGUCUUUUUGACAUUUGAUUAAUAUCUUAGUAUUUUCUUAUGGAAUUGAUUUAUUUAGCUCGUGUUGAUUGUAUCGAGCUGUUUGUGACUAGAUUCGAGGUAUUUUGAGGCCUUUUUGCUAGGUAAGAGCUUGUCGGAGUAGAGAUUUGCUCAACUUGAGGUAAGUAAUACUUCUAAUCUUUAUUCUGAGGUAUGAAACCCCGAAUUUGGUGUUAUGUGAUAGAUAUUGAGGUGACGCGUAGGCUAAGUGAUGGGAGUGUAGUCAUUUCCCUAGAUCCGCGUAGCUAUUUUAUCUGAACAUUCUUGCUAUACUUUAUGUGUUGGAGCACUUGAGUUGUGAUUCAUGCUAGGAAUCAUGUUUAGGCUAUAUAAUAGUAUUGUUGGAACCCAUAGUGGUUGUUCUUUGCUGUUGACUUAUUUGUUAAAUUGCAGUUGUACUCAAUCUUAUUCAUCAUUUUAUAUCACUUGCCAGUCUAUGUUAUUAUAUGUUGUCAUAUCUCAUAUCCUUGAUUACGAUUGAUUAGUAUGAUAUGAGCUUGGACUAGAGAGAUUGAUGACUGAGUGAGGUCGAGAGCCUGAUUGUGAGUGAUUUUUAUGGGAUCGGACUGCACACUGCAAUAUGUUUUAUUUACUUAUGCCUGGAUCUGGCUUAUUAUAGCGCCUGGGCUGAAGAAGCCCCUCCGGAAUCUACACACGCAUUAUGAGCGCAAAUGUUUAUAUUGAGGGAUGGAUUUUCCCUAGGCAUGGAUCUUACCUGAAUCAUUUACAUUUGGGAAUAGAUUUUCCAUGGGCUGGAUUGGCCUUAUGCAGUACUAAGUGAUUGACUACCAAUUGAUAUAUAUAUAUAUAUGGAUUUUCCCUAGGUUAGUUUAGGCAUAUACAAUACUGAGUGAUUGAGCACACUGAGAGUGUGAGUACGCGAGGAUUCCAUUGAAGGGCAUCACAUGCAUAUUGCACAGUGGCAUGUAGAUAUAGAGAUGUCAUAUCCCUCAUAUCAUUCAGAGUUGAUCUAUUUUACUUUUACUGAGUUUUUAUCUGAUGAACUUAAAACUAUGCCUACAUUUUUGUAAUGUUAUCUCCAUAUUGAGCUGUAACUGCUGAAUUCAUCAUUACUUUCAGUCCAAAGUUUAGAUUUAUUACUUAUUGAUUCAUCUCAUUUUCCAUCUUAUAUAAAGGGGAUCCUUGUCAUUUCUUGCAGACAUGAUAUUCAAUACAAGAACAUUCUCUACUCUCAAACUUAAUCAUAUUCUCCCUUGAUUUUAUAGCUUACUUACACACACUUAUUGAGUAAGUUGCAAAGUCCGGACCUUCGGAGAUUAUUGAUGUAGCUGCUUAGCAUUCACAUACCUUGACUCUCCUUCCUUAUUUUUCAGUUAUUUAUUUUAUUUUUACCUUCUAGACAUUGUAUCAGACUAUGUCAUUUCAUAGAUGCUCAUAUACUCAACGACACCCCGAUUUUUGGGAUAGAUUAUGUAUUGAAUUAUGUCUUCCUAUUCUAUUUUUAAAAGAUUUCCUUUUAAUUAACUAUUUGCAUAUCCUUCAAAGAUUUAAAAUAUUGGAAAUGUCUGAUAUACAAGCCUAAAGUCGGUGAGUCCGAUUUCGGAAUCAUCAUGGUACUCCAUUGCUCAUUUUCAGAAGUCUCGAGGAACAUCUCGAGGUAUGAUGAACCAGAAAGCUCGAGGCAUGACUCAAUAUCAGAGCAUUAAAGAUUGGUGGCUAUGAUGGGUGAGUGGGAGAUUCC